GAUGAACGCUAGCUACAGGCUUAACACAUGCAAGUCGAGGGGAAACGACAUCGAAAGCUUGCUUUUGAUGGGCGUCGACCGGCGCACGGGUGAGUAACGCGUAUCCAACCUGCCCAUCACUUGGGAAUAACCUUGCGAAAGUAAGACUAAUACCCAAUGACAUCCCACGAAGACAUCUGAAUGGGAUUAAAGAUUUAUCGGUGAUGGAUGGGGAUGCGUCUGAUUAGCUUGUUGGCGGGGUAACGGCCCACCAAGGCAACGAUCAGUAGGGGUUCUGAGAGGAAGGUCCCCCACAUUGGAACUGAGACACGGUCCAAACCCCUACGGGAGGCAGCAGUGAGGAAUAUUGGUCAAUGGGCGAGAGCCUGAACCAGCCAAGUAGCGUGCAGGAUGACGGCCCUAUGGGUUGUAAACUGCUUUUAUAAGGGAAUAAAGUGGGUCUCGUGAGACUUUUUGCAUGUACCUUAUGAAUAAGGACCGGCUAAUUCCGUG
rnacentral:rRNA from 1 species